GAUCCUGGCUCAGGAUGAACGCUAGCUACAGGCUUAACACAUGCAAGUCGAGGGGCAGCAUGAUCGAAGCUUGCUUUGAUUGAUGGCGACCGGCGCACGGGUGAGUAACGCGUAUCCAACCUUCCCUAUAGUAGAGAAUAGCCCGGCGAAAGUCGGAUUAAUGCUCUAUGUUGUAUUUAGAAGACAUCUGAAGAAUACCAAAGGUUUACCGCUAUAGGAUGGGGAUGCGUCUGAUUAGGUAGUAGGCGGGGUAACGGCCCACCUAGCCGACGAUCAGUAGGGGUUCUGAGAGGAAGGUCCCCCACAUUGGAACUGAGACACGGUCCAAACUCCUACGGGAGGCAGCAGUGAGGAAUAUUGGUCAAUGGACGGAAGUCUGAACCAGCCAAGUAGCGUGCAGGAAUGACGGCCCUAUGGGUUGUAAACUGCUUUUAUAUAGGGAUAAAGUGCACUACGUGUAGUGUUUUGUAGGUACUAUAUGAAUAAGGACCGGCUAAUUCCGUGCCAGCAGCAGC
rnacentral:rRNA from 1 species